rnacentral:rRNA from 1 species
AUGACAUUUCUUCAACUCAUCCAUCACUUUUGUUAUAUUUCAGGUCAAACACCAAAUUGGGCCAAAUCUGCUAUUCUUUUUAGUACUCAUGUUAGUCAAACCACUAUUCAAGAGAUUAAGCAAGUUUUUCAUGUUUCUAUCAUGGAUAACAAUUUCACCCACCUUGGUCAUCCGCUUAUUCUUCCUGCUAAAAAUAGAACUGCUGCUUACAACUUUGUUAUUGAUAAAUUUCUGAAUAAAUUGCCUGCUUACAAAGCUAAUAUGCUCUCUCAUGCUGCUAGGCUUGAGCUCAUUAGGUUUGUGUUCUCUGCUAUUCCUGUGUACUACAUGUCUAAUAUUUUGUUUACCAAAAAGUUUAUAGCCAAACUCACUGCUAUUAUAAGGAACUUUUGGUGGACAGGAAUCAGAGAGAAUAAUUCUAACAAGAGCCUUUGUCUUAGGGCUUGGAAGGACAUUUGCAAUUCCAAACAGGAAGGUGGUCUUGACAUUAGGAACUUGCAAGCAAUUAAUGAGGGCUUACUUCUUGCAGCUGCUUGGAGGCUUGCUAAAGACCCUUCCUCCCACCUUCAUCUUGUGCUCAAAUCUAAAUACUUCCAUGAUGCCUCUAUUUGGAUUGCUAUUUCUACUACUCCAAAAUUUGCUUUCUGGUCAUCCAUUUUAAAAAUGUUGCCUAAACUGAAAGAUCACUCUUUUUACCAACUCACGCAAGGGAAUAUCUCUCUUUGA